GACUGUUGUUCAUUUUGUUGUCGAUUUAUUGAUAGAUGAGAGUUUUUCGCUAAGGUUUUCCUCCUUGUUGUCUCUCUUUCCAAACCUAUAGUUUCUUCAUUGUUGACAAGUAUAUGGGCAAUGUUCAUACACUAGUACUGAACCACUUCCUUCAAGACGCUUCUGCAAGUACUGAUCCUGUUGAAGGGUGCAAACUCAUAAGAAAAGAUAAAGCAGCUCUAACUUUACUGCUUGGCUAUGUUCCGACUUUGAAGAAAGCACACACAUGAUUCAUUCGUCCUAUGGAUUUAUUCACUGCUUCGAUUACAGAUCAAUCGCACUUGCAAUUUUGUAUCUAAAUGGAAGGCAUUUGUAAGUGGUAUCAUUAGAGCUGUAUAUAACCUCAAAGGUAAACUCUUCUCAGUUUUAUUACCAGGUUUGGACCACCUAUUGAAGUUAAUUGGGCGUAUGCCACUGGGUAGAGGGAGGAUACAUAUCAGGUUGGUUUAUGUGAUGCUUAUUUUUCGCUUUAAAUAAUAUGCAUUUGAAGGCUAGGCAUUGAAUGUUGCUUAUUAUUGUCAUCCAUAUGUAAUAUAGUCUUAUAACAUACCUGUAUUUUUAUAGGUCACUUUAACAUAUAUGUUGGUGACGUUAGAUUUGAGGUUACAGAUGCAAUGCUGUUUACAUGCUUUUCUGCCAAUGCUAGUUAUUCGUGAAUAAACACCCUCUAUCUCGCGCACACACACACAUAUGCACCCACUUAUCUCUCUAUCUAUCCUUCCUCUCAUGUUGUAUUUUUCCGUGUAUCUAUAGUUAAAUCUAGCUUUGUUAUAUUAGGUUUAAUGAUUUGUGUGUUGUGUCUAAUUAUCUUCUUGUUGUAUUAUAAGGAAAAAUGGGUUGGUUCGGUUAUGGGUCAGCACUGUGGGUAAUAUUUUAAAAACAGGUUAGUUGGGUCAAGGCCUAAUUAGAAAAGGUCAAUGAAAAAUGAAAGAGAAGCAAGAUGCUGAAAUUAAGGAAAUGAAAGAAAACCAAGAGUUUAAACACUUGGAUAUUGUUUAAUGCUUCAAGUUCUGUUUUAGUGAUUGAAAUUAAGAUUGUCUUCAAAUGCAUGCUGAUAUUGUUGAUCACCACAUGGUUUCAGAUUGCCAACGAUUCAUUCAGUGCGAUAUUCACCAUCCUGAUGCAAAUGCUACUGCUUCUUAUGGAAGUCAAAUGAGAACUAUCAUCCAAGUUGAGAUCUGCUGCUGGUUGGAUACAUUUUUUAGGGGUUCGUCUUCAUCUUUUCCGUUGAUCAAUAAUCAACAUUGAACUCGCUAGCUACAGCACAGCAAAUACACCUUGCAAUUGAAUCUUGAUCGAAAUCUUUAGAUGGUUCAUGGUUCAUUUUCUUCAACUGGUGUCAUUUGUGGAUUUUAUAUACACCACAUCCAACAACUGAACCCAAUCCGUUUGGGGAGGUAAGAUGUAGACACUAGACAAUAUGCCUCUACCCAAAGGUAUGGAUUUUAUAUAUAUUUGUAGGAUUUUAAAUGUUGUUUCAAGUUUUAUUUCUGGUAGUAAAAUGCUUUGGGUGAUUGGGUCUUGCUAUGGCAAGUCACAGAGGUAUGAUGCAUACAUUAGGACAGGUAAGGAUAUGCCACUGUGAGUCUUAAUAAUGGAUUUAUGCUUUUUUGCACAGGUAAAAAGUAUAGAUAGCAAUUUAUAGCAAAUUUUAUCCUUUAAUACUGUUAGCAAUAUAGAAGCUUAUUCGCUAUUUGGAGCCUCAGCUUAUGUCAUAAUAGGACAAGAUUAACAUUUUUGACUUAGCUUUAGAGGAGUUAUGAAGAGUACAAAAAUAAAAUUUUGGCAUGCUUAUGAUACCUUGUCAUUGCUAUGUAAUAUGAAAGAAAAUGUUUACUG